rnacentral:rRNA from 1 species
UCGUAGGCGGUUUGUCGCGUCUGCUGUGAAAACCCGAGGCUCAACCUCGGGCCUGCAGUGGGUACGGGCAAACUAGAGUGUGGUAGGGGAGACUGGAAUUCCUGGUGUAGCGGUGGAAUGCGCAGAUAUCAGGAGGAACACCAAUGGCGAAGGCAGGUCUCUGGGCCACAACUGACGCUGAGGAGCGAAAGCGUGGGGAGCGAACAGGAUUAGAUACCCUGGUAGUCCACGCCGUAAACGGUGGGCACUAGAUGUGGGGACCAUUCCAUGGUUUCCGCGUCGCAGCUAACGCAUUAAGUGCCCCGCCUGGGGAGUACGGCCGCAAGGCUAAAACUCAAAGGAAUUGACGGGGGCCCGCACAAGCGGCGGAGCAUGCGGAUUAAUUCGAUGCAACGCGAAGAACCUUACCAAGGCUUGACAUAUGCCGUUUAUCCCUAGAGAUAGGGAGUCCUUCGGGGCGGUAUACAGGUGGUGCAUGGUUGUCGUCAGCUCGUGUCGUGAGAUGUUGGGUUAAGUCCCGCAACGAGCGCAACCCUCGUUCUAUGUUGCCAGCGCGUAAUGGCGGGGACUCAUAGGAGACUGCCGGGGUCAACUCGGAGGAAGGUGGGGAUGAGGUCAAAUCAUCAUGCCCCUUAUGUCUUGGGCUUCACGCAUGCUACAAUGGCCGGUACAAAGGGCUGCAAUACCGUAAGGUGGAGCGAAUCCCAAAAAGCCGGUCUCAGUUCGGAUUGAGGUCUGCAACUCGACCUCAUGAAGUCGGAGUCGCUAGUAAUCGCAGAUCAGCAACGCUGCGGUGAAUACGUUCCCGGGCCUUGUACACACCGCCCGUCAAGUCACGAAAGUUGGUAACACCCGAAGCCGGUGGCCUAACCUUUUAGGAGGGAGCCGUCUAAGGUGGGAUUAGCGAUUGGGACUAAGUCGUAACAAGGUAACC